rnacentral:lncRNA from 1 species
CAGGCUGCCCUGCUGCUUGGACGGCUCCUCCCUCGGCACGAUGUGAGUAGCAGCAGCUUUCCAACAUCCCCCUGGGGGUCUAUGACCCUUGUUCUCCUGGCUCUUGCAACUGCCCUCUCCUCUCCCCCAGUUCCCCUUGUACCUCUGCCCUGUUUCACUGUGGCUCUUACCUUCCCCACCACCUUGUCCCCCUUCUUCACGCCUCUUGUCUCUCCUGCUCCUCAGCUGUCCUUGGAGGAACUCUGUUCCUUGCACCCUCUGCUGCCCGGCCUCAGCCCCCAGACACUCCAAGCCAUCCCUAGGCGAGUUCUGGCUGGGGUCUGUUCCUGCCUAAUCCCUGAACUGUCGCGUCUCUCAGCCUGCCAGACCGCAGCACUGCUGCAGACCUUUCGGGUGAAAGAUGGUGUCAAAAGUACCAGUACAACAGGUGUCGGUGCAGCUGUGUGUGUUCCUGGUCAGGUAAUGUGUAAGAUCUCCCAACCGAGCUGCUCUCCAUAUUCUAGAACAGGUUCACCUGGCUGGUCCUGCUUCAUAUACUCCCCUACAGUGGCCCUGAAAGUUCCGGUUAGCUCUGUGCCCACCUAGAUAUUAGCAGCUCCCCUCAGUUCUAGAUGCAGGACAGCAUGACCUACACUGUCCUACAAUGUCAAAGACAGAAGGGCCUGAGAAAUCUUCUCCACUGUCAAGUGAAGAGACCAAGGCUCAGAGAAGCUAAGAAAUAUGAGUUCAUUGGGUGUCUGACUAGCAGCAACUUGACCACAGUAGCCUUCAGUGUAAGAGAUCCUAGGCGUCCAUUGCUACAGUGGCAAAUGCCAUCCCACCCUAACCUAGCUUUGGUUUCUGCACCUAUGUCUCCCCUUCUCCGAGGGCUGAGUGCAGACCCUCUCACCUGUCACUGUACUGUCACACCUGUCACUGCCAGCAGCCCAUGCCCA